rnacentral:sRNA from 1 species
GAGGAGACAUCACUCCACGGAUCACCUACCGCCGUCUCUGCCUCGCAGUCAACCAACUCAACGACAAUGUACAAAUCAGUUCUCGCUGUUCUUCUCUUGGUCGCCAUGGCUAGCGCCACUGGAUACGGAGGCUGGGGAGGUCUUGGAGGCUG